CAGAAUAUGUUUUAGGUUUGACUUUGAACUUGGAGUCUCUCAGAGCAUUGACAGAAUCAGAGAUGGAAGACGCUUUGAUAGAGAUCCUCAGAGAAUAUAAUCUGCCGCCACAGUUUACACUGAAAAUCAUUUCUUCCAAACCAUGAAAUGACCGGGGGAAUCAAAUUCUGGAUAAUUCAUCUGUAAUGUUGUUUCCUUUCCUUCCCAGGAUGUUUUAUUUUAUGUACUAAUUGCAUUUGUAAUGUUGCUUUACAGAAAUUACUUUCCUUUGGGUAAUAUUUUAAUUUCUUUUAUAUUGAUUAAGAACUGAGUUAAGUAUUUUUUUGUAUUUUCAUAAAUCAUUUGUGCAUUCUUCUAUUUUUUGCCUUUAAAUACGGUUUUGGGGAUCUAUAAAUUGUUUACUUGUAUUGAAAAAAAAAUCUUUCAGGGGAAACAUUGAAAUCUACAUGCAAAAGCUGGAAAAAACACGAAAAACAAUCCUUGGUGUGUGAUGGUAUGAACACAUUUAGGCGUGUGACUCCAUGUUGCUUCCCUGGUUAUGAAACAUUUAAAUAGAGCUUUAUAAUCAUGCAAAUGCAACAAAUAGUCAUGGUAAUUGGGAGAAGCAAAUGUUGUAAAUAGGUAUUGGGAAGAAUUUACUUUAAUAUAUGAAUCAACUGAACUUAUUUAGAUGAAAAUAGGAAAAAAAAAGUUCCUCUCUUCAACCUUUUGAAAUGCAUCCUAUCGAUUGGGGCUCAUAUAAACUGUCCCUAUUACCUAAAAUCAACAUUAUCAAAACAAGAAUCUUUUGAUUUGUUAUUUGUUUGUAUUUCUUUCUAAUCAAUGUAAAGCACUUUGAGUUGAGUUGUUGCUGAAAAUGUGCUGUAUAAAUAAAUUACCUUACCUUAC